CCGCACCUCCUCAAACGCUACCUCGACCAGCCUCCCUCCCGCAUUCAAAGCGGAGAGGUA
rnacentral:misc_RNA from 1 species